GAUCAUGGCUCAGAGUGAACGCUGGCGGCAGGCCUAACACAUGCAAGUCGAGCGGCAGCGCGUCCGACCACCCUCGGGUGGUCGGAUGGCGGCGAGCGGCGGACGGGUGAGGAAUGCAUCGGAAUCUGCCUCGUUGUGGGGGAUAACGUAGGGAAACUUACGCUAAUACCGCAUACGACCUACGGGUGAAAGUGGGGGACCUUCGGGCCUCACGCGAUGAGAUGAGCCGAUGCCGGAUUAGCUAGUUGGCGGGGUAAAGGCCCACCAAGGCGACGAUCCGUAGCUGGUCUGAGAGGAUGAUCAGCCACACUGGAACUGAGACACGGUCCAGACUCCUACGGGAGGCAGCAGUGGGGAAUAUUGGACAAUGGGGGCAACCCUGAUCCAGCCAUGCCGCGUGUGUGAAGAAGGCCUUCGGGUUGUAAAGCACUUUUGUUGGGGAAGAAACCGGCCGGGUUAAUGCCCUGGUUGAAUGACGGUACCCAAAGAAUAAGCACCGGCUAACUUCGUG
rnacentral:rRNA from 1 species